AAGACGCAAACCUCACGCCCAAAAUCAAAGAGAAACCUCAAGCCCAAAAUCAAAGAACUCGAUCACUCUGUCCAGCUCUUCUCACACCGGUGACAGUCGAUCCUUCCGCCAACCUACGUUAAACCCGCCAGAAUUUCAAGAAAAAUAUCCUAUAAACUUUAUCUCCUCCACCAUAAACAACCACCUCCUUCAAUAAAUUCGAGCCAUCCAAUAAUUUUAGGGAUUUAGCGAAUUGGAGCUCGGUUAGUGCAAAGUGUACAUGGAAGGAGAGAUCGUAAGUUGAUCGUGCUAAAUGACUUGAAUCGGCGCAUUGGUCCAGUUGAAGCAGUUAUAAAAGAGUUAGGCAAAAUAUGACAUCCCUGAGGAUGCGAUUAUCCCGGGUUUAUCAUUAAAUUCAGGUUGCUUGGAGAAAGUAUAAGAAUCAAUUGAAGAAAGAUCACUUUGAAGCCCAUUCCAAUGACGAGCUUCGAAUGGAGACUAGGCCGGUAGAUGUUUUGGAAUCUCACUUAAAGGAUCUUCUUAACUAUUGGAACUCUGAUUCCCACAAGGAGGUAAAAGCUGUUACGUUAAGAAUAGUUCAUCCAUUUACUGCUUCUUGCAUGAAUCUUGGUGAGGAAGCAUGGCAUUUCCCUUGGUUAUGUUCAUGUCAAUAUGUUGAUUUUCUUUGUAUGUGUAUAAAACAAUGGUUCAUUCAUGCCCCAAGUUAAUAGUUUGGUUCAAGAAUAUCAUAGCCGUUACAAGACCGACACAAAUUUUCCCUUAUUGACUAAUAGAAAACGAUUAGAUAUUUUCUUAAGUUAGUUUUAAUGAUUAGCGGGAUUUCCUAAUAGGUAACCACUUUCUUCAGGACUAUUUUUUGGUGCUUUCGUUGCUAGUAAUAGCUAAUAGUAUUGUAUUGGGUGAUACCCUUUUUUGCUUGAGCCCGACCGGGUUGGAUCC